AAUAAGAUUGCGUGACUGCAUCAUUGAAUGAUUCUAGGGUUAGUACUGAAGUUAACCCAAGGGAGGAAUGCCAAACCACUAUCUCUAAAAGUGAUAAGGUUGUUGAUGAGAAGAUAGAGGAAGGAAAGAUAGAGGUAUAUGAAGAGAAGAUAGAGGAGAAAAAAAUGGAGAGAAAGGAGGAGAAGAUAGAGGAAAAAGAGAUAGAGAUAAAUAAGGAGAAGAUAGAGGAGAAAAAAAU
rnacentral:lncRNA from 1 species